GCCUGCUCACCCUCACACAGGGCGGGCCCAGUGCAGCCUCUGCCAGUCGCAGUUCCUGUCGGCGUGGCCGACCGUCCUCGUGAGGACCGAACUCAGGGCCCGGCGCCAUGAGCCUGCUGCUCCGGAACCUGCAGCGUGCGGUCCCGCUGCGCCGUGCCCCCCUGCGCCGCCGGCUGCAGGCGCUCCGGGCCGUCAUGGGCGUGGAGCGCUUCGACCUGGCUGUGGUGUGCGCCGACGAUGCGGCCAUGAGGCGCCUCAACCGAGUGUUCCGGCAGCGGGACGCCCCGACCGACGUGCUCGCCUUUCCCUUCCAUGAGAACCUGAAGGCAGGAGAGCUGCCGCAGCCCACCUUCCCCGAUGACUACAACCUGGGGGACAUCAUCCUGGGUGUGGAGCUCAUCUCCCAGCAGUGUGAGGAGCACGAGGACUACUACGACGUGCUGACCGUGACGGCCACCCACGGACUGUGUCACUUGCUGGGCUUCACACACAGCACGGAGGCCGAGUGGCAGAAGAAAAAAGUUCCUUGAUGCAGUUGACCUGUCCUGUUCCAAUGACCUGUGCCCUGUUCUCUCUGGCACAGUUGCCCAGCGAGAUGUUCCACAAGGAGAAGCAGGUUCUGGAGGAGCUGAACCAGCACUUGGGGACCCAGCUGCAGCCCCUGAGCAGAGGCCUCUUCUCAAAGGACACUUGAGGACCUUCCAGACACAGGGACGCAGAGAUGGAGAUGCCUAGGGACCAGGGGUUCCCCAUGCUGGCCCCUGACAUGCUCCAUAUGGGACUGAGUCCUGGAGUAGAGACUGUCCUUGAUGAACAAGAGAGAUUCCCAUUCACUCCUUUGCUCAGCAGCUAGUUUCUUGGCAUGUUGUGAGUAAAGGAAGUCUGCUUUGGGGACAGUGA